rnacentral:rRNA from 1 species
GGGUUGUGAGGUUAAGCGACUAAGCGUACACGGUGGAUGCCCUGGCAGUCAGAGGCGAUGAAGGACGUGCUAAUCUGCGAUAAGCGUCGGUGAGGUGAUAUGAACCGUUAUAACCGGCGAUUUCCGAAUGGGGAAACCCAGUGUGUUUCGACACACUAUCAUUAACUGAAUCCAUAGGUUAAUGAGGCGAACCGGGGGAACUGAAACAUCUAAGUACCCCGAGGAAAAGAAAUCAACCGAGAUUCCCCCAGUAGCGGCGAGCGAACGGGGAGGAGCCCAGAGCCUGAAUCAGUGUGUGUGUUAGUGGAAGCGUCUGGAAAGGCGUGCGAUACAGGGUGACAGCCCCGUACACAAAAAUGCACAUAUUGUGAGCUCGAUGAGUAGGGCGGGACACGUGGUAUCCUGUCUGAAUAUGGGGGGACCAUCCUCCAAGGCUAAAUACUCCUGACUGACCGAUAGUGAACCAGUACCGUGAGGGAAAGGCGAAAAGAACCCCGGCGAGGGGAGUGAAAAAGAACCUGAAACCGUGUACGUACAAGCAGUGGGAGCCUCUUAAUGGGGUGACUGCGUACCUUUUGUAUAAUGGGUCAGCGACUUAUAUUCUGUAGCAAGGUUAACCGAAUAGGGGAGCCGAAGGGAAACCGAGUCUUAACUGGGCGUUAAGUUGCAGGGUAUAGACCCGAAACCCGGUGAUCUAGCCAUGGGCAGGUUGAAGGUUGGGUAACACUAACUGGAGGACCGAACCGACUAAUGUUGAAAAAUUAGCGGAUGACUUGUGGCUGGGGGUGAAAGGCCAAUCAAACCGGGAGAUAGCUGGUUCUCCCCGAAAGCUAUUUAGGUAGCGCCUCGUGAAUUCAUCUCCGGGGGUAGAGCACUGUUUCGGCAAGGGGGUCAUCCCGACUUACCAACCCGAUGCAAACUGCGAAUACCGGAGAAUGUUAUCACGGGAGACACACGGCGGGUGCUAACGUCCGUCGUGAAGAGGGAAACAACCCAGACCGCCAGCUAAGGUCCCAAAGUCAUGGUUAAGUGGGAAACGAUGUGGGAAGGCCCAGACAGCCAGGAUGUUGGCUUAGAAGCAGCCAUCAUUUAAAGAAAGCGUAAUAGCUCACUGGUCGAGUCGGCCUGCGCGGAAGAUGUAACGGGGCUAAACCAUGCACCGAAGCUGCGGCAGCGACACUAUGUGUUGUUGGGUAGGGGAGCGUUCUGUAAGCCUGUGAAGGUGGCCUGUGAGGGUUGCUGGAGGUAUCAGAAGUGCGAAUGCUGACAUAAGUAACGAUAAAGCGGGUGAAAAGCCCGCUCGCCGGAAGACCAAGGGUUCCUGUCCAACGUUAAUCGGGGCAGGGUGAGUCGACCCCUAAGGCGAGGCCGAAAGGCGUAGUCGAUGGGAAACAGGUUAAUAUUCCUGUACUUGGUGUUACUGCGAAGGGGGGACGGAGAAGGCUAUGUUGGCCGGGCGACGGUUGUCCCGGUUUAAGCGUGUAGGCUGGUUUUCCAGGCAAAUCCGGAAAACCAAGGCUGAGGCGUGAUGACGAGGCACUACGGUGCUGAAGUGACAAAUGCCCUGCUUCCAGGAAAAGCCUCUAAGCAUCAGGUAACAUCAAAUCGUACCCCAAACCGA